rnacentral:lncRNA from 1 species
AUGUCUCGGCGCAAGCAGGCCAAGCCCCAGCAUCUCAAGUCGGACGAGGAGCUGCCGCCGCCGGACGGGGCUCCCGAGCACGCGGCCCCCGGGGAGGGUGCCGAGGACGCGGACAGCGGCAACGAGAGCCGGAGCGGAGGCGAGGACACACACGUGUGCGAAAAGUGCUGCGCCGAAUUCUUCAAGUGGGCCGACCUGCUGGCGCACAAGGAGGCCUGCACCAAGAACCCGCUGGUGCUAAUCGUGGGCGAGGAUGAGCCCGCCCCGCCCUCCGAGGACUUCCCCGAGGCGUCCCCGGCCAGCUCGGCCAGCGAGCGCGCGGACAGCGAGGCCGCCGAAGAGACAGCGGCGGCGGCGGCAGCGGCCCCGGAGGGCGGGGAGGCCGCGGAGGCGAGGGCGCCGGAGCGGGAGGACGAGCCCAUGGAGGUGGGCGCGCCCGCGGACAAGGGCUUCCAGGGCCCGGGCGCGGCGCAUGUGGGGCAGCCGCCUCCGCCGCCAGGCCCCGAGCCAGCCCCCGGGGCGGCCUACGGCAUGCCCAGCACCAACGUGACCCUGGAGACCCUCCUGAGCACCAAGGUGGCCGUGGCGCAGUUCUCGCAGACCUCGCGGGCCGCGGGCGCGGCGGGCCCGGGCGGUGGCGUGGCGGCCGCCGCGCUCCCGCUGAUCCUGGAGCAGCUCGUGGCCCUGCAGCAGCAGCAGGUGCAGCAGCUGCAGCUCAUCGAGCAGAUCCGCAGCCAGGUGGCGCUCAUGAGCCGCCCGCUGCCGCCCUCCCGGCCGCCGCUGCACCCCGGGCCGGCCGCGCACCCCACCCUGCCACUCUCGGCCGGCGCCGGCCCCGCGGCCACGGCGCAGGGACCCGCCGCCCCGCCGGCGGCCUACGAGGGCCCCCAACACCUGGCCACGCCGGCGUCCACAGCCAGCACCCCGCACGUCGCGGGCGGAGGCCCCUCGGCGCCGGAGCUCGGCGCCCCCGCGUGCUCUGGCGCCCCCGCGACCUCCACGGCCUCCGCCCCAGCGGCCGGCGCCUCGGGGGGCGCCUCCCGGCCACAGAACGCCCCCACGCCCCCCGCCCUGGGGCCCGGGCCGCUGCUCAGCUCGGCGCCCAGCCUGCCAAGCCCACUGCUACCUCAGACCUCCGCCAGCAGCGUCAUCUUCCCCAACCCGCUGGUUAGCAUCGCGGCCACGGCCAACGCGCUGGACCCCCUGUCGGCCCUCAUGAAGCACCGCAAGGGCAAGCCCCCCAACGUGUCGGUGUUCGAGCCCAAGGCCAGCACUGAGGACCCCUUCUUCAAGCACAAGUGCAGGUUCUGCGCCAAAGUGUUCGGGAGCGACAGUGCCCUGCAGAUCCACCUGCGCUCGCACACGGGCGAGCGGCCCUUCAAGUGCAACAUCUGCGGGAACCGCUUCUCCACCAAGGGCAACCUGAAGGUGCACUUCCAGAGGCACAAGGAGAAGUACCCCCACAUCCAGAUGAACCCCUACCCGGUGCCCGAGUAUCUGGACAACGUGCCCACCUGCUCCGGGAUUCCCUACGGGAUGUCGCUGCCGCCAGAGAAACCAGUCACCACCUGGCUGGACAGCAAGCCGGCGCUGCCCACUGUGCCCACUUCGGUGGGGCUGCAGCUCCCGCCCACCCUCCCGGGUGUGGGCGUCGGCAGCUACGUGGACUCCCCCAGCCUCACCCCCGCCAGCCGCUCCCCACAGCGGCCCUCGCCCGCGUCCAGCGAGUGCCCCUCUUUGUCCCCAGGCCUGACCAGCUCCGAGGCAGGCGUCCCGGUGGCUGCGGGAUCCCCACAGCCGGUGCCCGGUGGAUCUUCCCUGCCCAAGACCGAGCCUGUGAGCCUGCCCUGCACAAACGCCAGGGUAGGGGACCUCCCGGCCACAGCGGGGCAGGUCUCCACCGCAUCUGCCCUGGCGGACAGCGGCGCAUCCCCAGGCCUCUGCAGCCCGGUCCUCCCGGCCGGGGCCGAGCCGUUUAAGGCCAAGUUCCCCUUCGGAGGGCUGCUCGACUCUAUGCAAACGUCCGAAACCUCCAAGCUGCAGCAGCUGGUGGAGAACAUAGACAAGAAGAUGGCAGACCCCAACCAGUGCGUCAUCUGCCACCGCGUGCUGAGCUGCCAGAGCGCCCUGAAGAUGCACUACCGGACGCACACGGGCGAGCGGCCCUUCAAGUGCAAGAUCUGCGGGCGUGCCUUCACCACCAAGGGCAACCUGAAGACGCACUUCGGCGUGCACCGCGCCAAGCCGCCCCUGCGCGUGCAGCACUCCUGCCCCAUCUGCCAGAAGAAGUUCACCAAUGCCGUGGUGCUUCAGCAGCACAUCCGCAUGCACAUGGGGGGCCAGAUCCCCAACACACCGCUGCCCGAGGGCUUCCAGGACGCCAUGGACGCCGUGCUGCCCUACGACGACAAGGCCGCCGACACCCUGAGCGCCUGCGACGACGACAUGGACGACAACUCCCUGGAGGAUGACGCCGAGCUGAAGGACGUGGCUGGCGACCCGAACAAGCCGCUGCUGGCCUUCUCGGGCUCCUGCCCACCCUCCCCGCCUUCCGUCAUCUCCAGCAUCGCCGCCCUGGAGAACCAGAUGAAGAUGAUGGACUCGGUCAUGAGCUGCCCCCAGCUGAGUGCCCUCAAGUCCCUGGAGAAUGGGUCUGGGGAGAGCGACCAUCUGAGCAACGACUCGUCCUCGGCCGUGGGCGACCUGGAGAGCCGGAGUGCGGGCAGCCCGGCCCUGUCUGAGUCGUCCUCCUCCUUGCAGGCCCUGUCACCCGGGAACAGUAACAGUGAGAGCCUGCCCUCCAAGUCCCCGGGCCUUGGCGCCCAGGAGGAGCCCCAGGAGACCCAGCUGAAGACGGAGAAGCCAGACAGCCCGCCCCCCGGCCCCGAGAAUGGAGGGGCGCUGGACCUGACGGCCACCCACCCGGGCCGGCCAGCCAUCAAGGAGGAGGCCCCCUUUAGCCUGCUGUUCCUGAGCCGCGAUCGGGGUCCUGGCCAGGGCACCCCGAGCCUGGGCCCUGGCUCCACGCCCACCACCAUCAAAACGGAAGUGAAUGGGCACAGCAAGGCCGGCCUGCUGGCCGAGGGUCCGCCGCUGCCGGCUGCCGUCCAGGUGCCCCCCGGGCCCCCGACGGUGAUGAGCCCUGGCCUCGCGCCCAUGCUGGCCCCCCCACCGCGCCGGACCCCCAAGCAGCACAACUGCCAAUCGUGUGGGAAGACCUUCUCCUCGGCCAGCGCCCUGCAGAUCCACGAGCGCACCCACACUGGGGAGAAGCCGUUUGGCUGCACCAUCUGCGGGAGAGCCUUCACCACCAAGGGCAACCUCAAGGUGCACAUGGGCACCCACAUGUGGAACAACGCUCCCGCCAGGCGUGGCCGCCGCCUGUCAGUGGAGAACCCCAUGGCCCUGCUGGGCGGCGACGCCCUCAAGUUCUCAGAGAUGUUCCAGAAGGAUCUGGCCGCACGGGCCAUGAACGUGGACCCCAGCUUUUGGAACCAGUACGCCGCUGCCAUCACGAACGGGCUGGCCAUGAAGAACAACGAGAUCUCCGUCAUCCAGAACGGAGGCCUCCCCCAGCUCCCCGUAAGUCUCGGCGGGAGCGCCCUCCCCCCGCUGGGCUCCCUGGCCGCCGGGCUGGACAAGGCGCGUCCAGGCAGCAGCCCGCCCAUCGCAGGGCUGGACAAAGCCAACUCGGACACAGGAGGCAGCCGGCCGUUCACACGGUUCAUUGAGGAUAACAAGGAGAUUGGGAUUAACUAG